UACGGAGGGUGCAAGCGUUGCUCGGAAUUAUUGGGCGUAAAGGGUAGGUAGGUGGUCUCAUUUGUCUGGGGUGAAAGCCUUGAGCUUAACUCAAGAAGUGCCCCAGAAACGGUGAGACUAGAGUCCUGGAGAGGGUCGUGGAAUUCCCGGUGUAGCGGUGAAAUGCGUAGGGAUCGGGAGGAACACCAGAGGCGAAGGCGGCGACCUGGACAGGUACUGACACUCAACUACGAAAGCGUGGGGAGCAAACAGG
rnacentral:rRNA from 1 species